GUCCGUGUGGUGGAAUUGGUAGACACGUUAGGUUCAGGUCCUAAUGCCCUAACCGGUGUGCAGGUUCAAGUCCUGUCGCGGACACCA
rnacentral:tRNA from 1 species